rnacentral:rRNA from 1 species
AACGAACGCUGGCGGCAGGCUUAACACAUGCAAGUCGAACGCGUGUAGCAAUACACGAGUGGCGCACGGGUGAGUAACGCGUGGAUAUCUGCCUUUUGGUUCGGAAUAACCCCGGGAAACUGGGGCUAAUACCGGAUGGUUCCUUCGGGAUAAAGAUUUAUCGCCAAAAGAUGAGUCCGCGUACGAUUAGCUAGUUGGUGAGGUAAUGGCUCACCAAGGCGACGAUCGUUAGCUGGUCUGAGAGGACGAUCAGCCACACUGGGACUGAGACACGGCCCAGACUCCUACGGGAGGCAGCAGUGGGGAAUAUUGGACAAUGGGGGCAACCCUGAUCCAGCCAUGCCGCGUGAGUGAUGAAGGCCUUCGGGUUGUAAAGCUCUUUUGGCGGGGACGAUGAUGACGGUACCCGCAGAAUAAGCCCCGGCUAACUUCGUGCCAGCAGCCGCGGUAAUAC